GCUGCUGGUUACUGUUCGUUUGCGUUAAUUUGCACUGAGUCGCUCUUCAUACACGCCUCCGAAAUAGGAUACCGUCUGACCUGGGGAGUGCUGCAAAGGCCAGUGACCUUGUCCACCCAAGCUUUUGCUCUGCAGACCCUUUCCAAAUGUUACUAAAGACUUUCUGUAAAGCUGGUGAAAUGAACUGUUACAGAUAUUUCUGCUGUGACUGUGAACUGCUCUUCCCGAGUAGCUCAUGGGCCCUGACUGGAGAGAUGAGACAACAUGGAGAUCAGAAAAGAUCUGUAGGCAGAGACUUUGUAGUCAAGAGCUACUAUGAUAGUGGGCUUCUCCUGCAGCACUACAACUGUUGAUCAGAAAGAGAUGUGCGAACAUCGGAGUUGGAGAGAUGGGGAGAAAGAGCUUCAAUUUGAUCGUUAAAAGGCACAGAAUGCUUUCAUCCUUUUGGUAAGAUGCAGUUAAAACUUUUAAACAGACUGAGCAUUGCUUUUUAUGUCUGUGGCUGUUUUUCAGUUUGACCAGGGUAGUUGGGGAUGGCUUUAGAAGCUCAUGAAAUCAUAUUAUAUAAUUGAAUAUCUAAAAUCUGUUUAUCCUAAUUACUGCACUUGUUUGCAGCAGUGUGUGUAGCUCUCAGGUUAUCUACGAGAAUCUGGUAAGUGGGCAAGGUGAGCAGUGACCAGUGGAUGGAAGCAGUUGGUAUUGCUCAGGUGCGAUUUCUGGUGUGACUCUUAGCCUCUGUUCUCGUUUGUGUGCUUUAGGUGGUCCAGUGGUAUUACGCCGAGACCCCCUCAGCAACUGGCCGACACACCCGGUUUGUCGCUCCCUGUUUGUUGCGGGAAUUGUUAUUGAGGAGUAAAUUUGUGUUUGAAUUAUUAUAUAUAUAUUUUUGAUGUGUUAUUAUGUUGAGUCUUAGUCAUGUUGUUUUAAAUUAUAGUUUUGAUUCUUUGAGGUAACUUUUUGUGUUUUCUUGUUUGAGUUUUUUGGUAACUAAAUACAGGUUUUUUUUGGUGAUGGUUUUAGUAAUUUUGAUUUUUGUGGUUUAGCUGUAAUUUGGGUAAGAGUGUAUAAAUAAUUUUUUAAGAGUUUAUGUUAUGUAUUGGAUUAUUUGAUUUGCAAUUUAAAUUUUGUGAGGGAUAAGGUUAGUUAAGAGGUAUACUAACGAGGUAUGUAGAAAAUGGAUUUUUCAGAUUGGUGACCAAUAAACACUGUAUUUGGAUGUGUGGUUUUAGUUAG
rnacentral:lncRNA from 1 species